CCUACGGGUGGCUGCAGUAACGAAUCUUCCGCAAUGGGCGAAAGCCUGACGGAGCAAUGCCGCGUGUGGGAUGAAGCGUCUCUGACGUGUAAACCACUGUCAGGGGUCGGAACCAACGAUUGACCCCAGAGGAAGUGGCGACUAACUCUGUGCCAGCAGUCGCGGUAAUACAGAGGCCACAAGCGUUAUUCGGAAUCACUGGGCUUAAAGGGUGCGUAGGCGGAUCCGCAAGUGUCCUGUGAAAUCCCACGGCUCAACCGUGGAACAGCAGGGCA
rnacentral:rRNA from 1 species